rnacentral:rRNA from 1 species
AGUGGCGGACGGGUGAGUAAUGCAUAGGGAUCUACCUAAUAGUGGGGGACAACCUGGUGAAAACCAGGCCAAUACCGCAUAAUCCCUACGGGGCAAAGCAGGGGACCUCUUGCGCUAAUAGAUGAGCCUAUGUCGGAUUAGCUAGUUGGUGAGGUAAUGGCUCACCAAGGCGACGAUCCGUAGCUGGUUUGAGAGGAUGAUCAGCCACACUGGGACUGAGACACGGCCCAGACUCCUACGGGAGGCAGCAGUAGGGAGUAUUGGACAAUGGGCGAAAGCCUGAUCCAGCAAUGCCGCGUGUGUGAAGAAGGCCUGCGGGUUGUAAAGCACUUUUGUUUGGGAGGAAAAGCUUAAGGUUAAUACCUUUAAGUGUUGACGUUACCAAUAGAAUAAGUCCCGGCUAACUACGUGCCAGCAGCCGCGGUAAUACGUAGGGGACAAGCGUUAUCCGGAAUCACUGGGCGUAAAGGGCGCGUAGGCGGUUAUUUAAGUCAGAUGUGAAAGCCCUGGGCUCAACCUAGGAACUGCACCUGAUACUGGAUAACUAGAGUACAGAAGAGGGUGGUGGAAUUUCAGGUGUAGCGGUGAAAUGCGUAGAGAUCCGAAGGAAUACCAGUGGCGAAGGCGGCCCCCUGGAUUGAUACUGAAACUGAGGUGCGAAAGCGUGGGGAUCAAACAGGAUUAGAUACCCUGGUAGUCCACGCCGUAAACGAUGUCUACUAGCCGUUGGGGAGCUUGCCUCCUUAGUGGCGCAGCUAACGCAAUAAGUAGACCGCCUGGGGAGUACGGUCGCAAGAUUAAAACUCAAAUGAAUUGACGGGGGCCCGCACAAGCGGUGGAGCAUGUGGUUUAAUUCGAUGCAACGCGAAGAACCUUACCAGGUCUUGACAUCCUGCGAACUUACUAGAGAUAGUUUGGUGCCUUCGGGAGCGCAGUGACAGGUGCUGCAUGGCUGUCGUCAGCUCGUGUUGUGAAAUGUUGGGUUAAGUCCCGUAACGAGCGCAACCCUUGUCCUUAUUUGCCAGCACGUAAUGGUGGGAACUCUAAGGAGACUGCCGGUGACAAACCGGAGGAAGGUGGGGACGACGUCAAGUCAUCAUGGCCCUUACGGGGUGGGCUACACACGUGCUACAAUGGUCGGUACAGAGGGUCGCAAUACCGCGAGGUGGAGCUAAUCUCAGAAAGCCGAUCGUAGUCCGGAUUGCAGUCUGCAACUCGACUGCAUGAAGUUGGAAUCGCUAGUAAUCGCGAAUCAGAAUGUCGCGGUGAAUACGUUCCCGGGCCUUGUACACACCGCCCGUCACACCAUGGGAGUUGGUUGCAAAAGAAGUAGGUAGUCUAACUUAUGAGGACGCUUACCACUUUGUGGUCAAUGACUGGGGUGAAGUCGUAACAAGGUAACC